GAUGAACGCUGGCGGCGUGCCUAAUACAUGCAAGUCGAGCGAACAGACGGGGAGCUUGCUCCUCUGACGUUAGCGGCGGACGGGUGAGUAACACGUGGAUAACCUACCUAUAAGACUGGGAUAACUUCGGGAAACCGGAGCUAAUACCGGAUAACAUGUUGAACCGCAUGGUUCAACAGCGAAAGACGGUCUUGCUGUCACUUAUAGAUGGAUCCGCGCCGCAUUAGCUAGUUGGUAAGGUAACGGCUUACCAAGGCAACGAUGCGUAGCCGACCUGAGAGGGUGAUCGGCCACACUGGAACUGAGACACGGUCCAGACUCCUACGGGAGGCAGCAGUAGGGAAUCUUCCGCAAUGGGCGAAAGCCUGACGGAGCAACGCCGCGUGAGUGAAGAAGGUCUUCGGAUCGUAAAACUCUGUUAUUAGGGAAGAACAAAUGUGUAAGUAACUAUGCACGUCUUGACGGUACCUAAUCAGAAAGCCACGGCUAACUACGUG
rnacentral:rRNA from 1 species